UACGUAGGGUGCAAGCGUUGUCCGGAAUUAUUGGGCGUAAAGAGCUCGUAGGCGGUCUGUCGCGUCGGCUGUGAAAUCCCGAGGCUCAACCUCGGGUCUGCAGUCGAUACGGGCAAACUAGAGUAUUGCAGGGGAGACUGGAAUUCCUGGUGUAGCGGUGAAAAUGCGCAGAUAUCAGGAGGAACACCGGUGGCGAAGGCGGGGUCUCUGGGCCGUAACUGACGCUGAGGAGCGAAAGCGUGGGGGAGCGAAACAGGG
rnacentral:rRNA from 1 species